AGUGAACGCUGGCGGUAGGCCUAACACAUGCAAGUCGAACGGCAGCACAGUAAGAGCUUGCUCUUACGGGUGGCGAGUGGCGGACGGGUGAGGAAUACAUCGGAUUCUACUUUUUCGUGGGGGAUAACGUAGGGAAACUUACGCUAAUACCGCAUACGACCUACGGGUGAAAGCAGGGGAUCUUCGGACCUUGCGCGAUUGAAUGAGCCGAUGUCGGAUUAGCUAGUUGGCGGGGUAAAGGCCCACCAAGGCGACGAUCCGUAGCUGGUCUGAGAGGAUGGUCAGCCACCCUGGAACUGGGACACGGUCCAGACUCCUACGGGAGGCAGCAGUGGGGAAUAUUGGACAAUGGGCGCAAGCCUGAUCCAGCCAUACCGCGUGGGUGAAGAAGGCCUUCGGGUUGUAAAGCCCUUUUGUUGGGAAAGAAAAGCAGCAGGUUAAUACCCCGCUGUUCUGACGGUACCCAAAGAAUAAGCACCGGCUAACUUCGUG
rnacentral:rRNA from 1 species